rnacentral:lncRNA from 1 species
CGAAAAGAGGUGAUCUAAAUCUUGCAUGAGAGAUGUACAUCAAUAGGGAGCUUUGCCUAGAACACUGUGACCUAAAAAAUCAUAUUAAGGAACUCAGAAUGCAGAGUCAGUUUCAGAGACACCAGGUGACCUUGUGCAAGGCACCUCGUAGAUUGCCUUGCUGACUGGACUCCCCUAAUGAAUGGUGACUGCCUCUGCCACCCACCUACUACCAACUGCAAGUUGAAGAGCUUUGGGAGUAGUUUGUCCAGAAGGUCCACUGCGCCUAGAACCUUCUGGGAGGUCGAGCACCCGAAAAGAGGCUGCCAUGCCUGAAGGAGGACGAAGCUGCGCUCAAAAGAGAUUGAGAUGUUCAUACAAUUAAUCAGCUACGUCUUUGUGUUGUGUAUCACGGUGUCUAAUUUCCAGAGGAAAGAUCACUUUCAAACCACAUAAAUGAUGAUGCUUUUGGGAAAAAAGACAGCAAAAAGGAAAACCCAUCUCUCCUCAAUGUAAAGAUUUCACUAUGAACUCACCUAUUGUUUUUAUUUUACACCCACAGUCUUGAUGCUUAUUAUCUCUGAAAUCAUUUCAGUUUCCAAAAAUUAUCUGAAACACUCCUACAUCUGGGGCUUUUGAUAAACAGUCCAACUUCUACAGACAGAAACAGUUGUGCAUGUGUGUGUGUGUGUGUGUGUGCAAACGCACGAUGUGUUUGAGAGACAGAAGGAUGAGUUUAAGGGAGAGGGAAAAAGUGAUGGCACCCUUCUGAGCUACACAGCCUGGACACCUGUGAAGACCUGAGUAGGUUUCACUGUAACACACAAAGACGUCUAUGAGCAUGGGUCUUCCCUCCAUGGAUCUCUCUCUUGAGACUGCAAGAAACUUUGGGGUAAUUUUACUCUGAUGCUAAGAAUAAAAAUCAUGAUGAAUGUUUUGAGCACUUACAAUGUUCCAGGAAAUUUUCUAAGAGCUUUAAUACACGUGAAAUCACAUAUUACUCACAAGUCAAUGAGGUUGAUACUAUUCUUAUCACAUUCUACAGAUGAAAAAAAAAAAUCACAGAGAAGUAGGCUCCCAAUCACUGGCUUAUUCACAAUGAAUUAAAAUCUUGCCUGACAACCAUCAAGACUGGAGAGGCCACUUCCUGUGGGAGGAGCUUUCAGUGAGAUGGAAUCUCUCUCCUCUCAACUGUCUCCAGCUUUCUCAUGGCAUUGAAGCCACUGCCUUAAGCUACAGUAAUCUGUGUGCCUGUUAAAUCUUCUCUGGGAAGACCCUAAGGUCCUUAUGAUCAGGGUAGUAUUAAAAUUAUCCUUGUUUUUCCACAGCCAUGGCAAAAGUGCCUGGCACUGCAUAGGCAUUUUAGGAGAUACUAGUUGAAAAAGUGAAUGAAGAAACCCAAGUUUCAGACCUGAGUUUGCACAAUCAUGUUAGAAAAAUUGAUACAGACAGCUCUCCAGGACCAAAGCUGGCUAAAUCUUGAGACAAUGAUCAUGACUAUUAAAAUAAAACAUGUUAUUUGCUUUCAAUCCCUGUAGAGGUUUCCUCUGAAUUCAUCUUCACCUCUUGGAUGAUUAUGGUGUGUGCCCUGUCCAUCUGGCCUGAAAAGUAGAUUUUAAAAGAAAUACUGUAAUGAGAGUGAGAAAGCUUAAG